rnacentral:rRNA from 1 species
UACGUAGGGGGCAAGCGUUGUCCGGAAUCAUUGGGCGUAAAGAGCGUGUAGGCGGCCCGAUAAGUCCGCUGUGAAAGUCCAGGGCUCAACCCUGGAAUGCCGGUGGACACUGUCGGGCUCGAAUCCGGAAGAGGUGAGUGGAAUUCCUGGUGUAGCGGUGAAAUGCGCAGAUAUCAGCAGGAACACCAAUGGCGAAGGCAGCUCACUGGGACGGUAUUGACGCUGAGACGCGAAAGCGUGGGGAGCAAACAGG